rnacentral:rRNA from 1 species
AGUGAACGCUGGCGGUAGGCCUAACACAUGCAAGUCGAACGGCAGCACAGUAAGAGCUUGCUCUUACGGGUGGCGAGUGGCGGACGGGUGAGGAAUACAUCGGAAUCUACUUUUUCGUGGGGGAUAACGUAGGGAAACUUACGCUAAUACCGCAUACGACCUACGGGGGAAAGCAGGGGAUCUUCGGACCUUGCGCGUAUGAAUGAGCCGAUGUCGGAUUAGCUAGUUGGCGGGGUAAAGGCCCACCAAGGCGACGAUCCGUAGCUGGUCUGAGAGGAUGAUCAGCCACACUGGAACUGAGACACGGUCCAGACUCCUACGGGAGGCAGCAGUGGGGAAUAUUGGACAAUGGGCGCAAGCCUGAUCCAGCCAUACCGCGUGGGUGAAGAAGGCCUUCGGGUUGUAAAGCCCUUUUGUUGGGAAAGAAAAGCAGCAGGUUAAUACCCCGCUGUUCUGACGGUACCCAAAGAAUAAGCACCGGCUAACUUCGUG